CAGCCGCCGCGGUAAUACCGGCGGCCCGAGUGGCGGCCACUAUUAUUGGGCUUAAAGCGUCCGUAGCCGGGUUGGUUAGUCUCCCGGGAAAUCUGGCCGCUUAACGGUCAGAAUUCCGGGAGAUACUGCCAGCCUAGGGACCGGGAGAGGCCGAGGGGAUUCCCGGAGUAGGGGUGAAAUCCUAUAAUCCCGGGAGGACCACCUGUGGCGAAGGCGCUCGGCUGGAACGCGUCCGACGGUGAGGGACGAAGGCCAGGGGAGCAAACCGGAUUAGAUACCCGGGUAGUCCUGGCGGUAAACGAUGCGGACUUUGUGUCGGACAAGCUAUGAGCUUGUCCGGUGCCGGAGGGAAACCGUUAAGUCCGCCGCCUGGGGAGUACGGCCGCAAGGCUGAAACUUAAAGGAAUUGGCGGG
rnacentral:rRNA from 1 species